rnacentral:rRNA from 1 species
GAUGAACGCUGGCGGCGUGCCUAAUACAUGCAAGUCGAGCGAACGGACGAGAAGCUUGCUUCUCUGAUGUUAGCGGCGGACGGGUGAGUAACACGUGGAUAACCUACCUAUAAGACUGGGAUAACUUCGGGAAACCGUAGCUAAUACCGGAUAAUAUUUUGAACCGCAUGGUUCAAAAGUGAAAGACGGUCUUGCUGUCACUUAUAGAUGGAUCCGCGCUGCAUUAGCUAGUUGGUAAGGUAACGGCUUACCAAGGCAACGAUGCAUAGCCGACCUGAGAGGGUGAUCGGCCACACUGGAACUGAGACACGGUCCAGACUCCUACGGGAGGCAGCAGUUGGGAAUCUUCCGCAAAGGGCGAAAGCCUGACGGAGCAACGCCGCGUGAGUGAUGAAGGUCUUCGGAUCGUAAAACUCUGUUAUUAGGGAAGAACAUAUGUGUAAGUAACUGUGCACAUCUUGACGGUACCUAAUCAGAAAGCCACGGCUAACUACGUG